GGGUUGCUAACUCAAUGGUAGAGUACUCGGCUUUUAAGAUAAUAAAUAAUUAAACAAUGAAGAGCUAAAAAA
rnacentral:tRNA from 1 species